rnacentral:lncRNA from 1 species
AUUUGUCUUUUUUAAUUUUAAUUUUCUUUAACAUUAAUUUAUUUCAAAGAUGUGAAACCUUCCCCUGGAAAAAUAAUUUCUGCAGACUUCAGAUUUUAUAAUUUGUUGGUUUUUCUGUCUCAGGUCCGAGUGUAGCAGUACAGCCUCGUCCAGAACCAGGAUAAGUCCACUCCUCGGCUGUUACUGAGGAAGGUCACCGAUGUUCGGCCCUCCACGUUUCUCCUCCCCCAAGCUCAACCAGGUAAGUCACUCUCACUCCUCUUCUGUCUCUCCCUCUUUCUUUCCCUCUCCUCCUGUCUCUCAAAGAAAAAAAGAAAAAAGAAAGAAAAAAGAAAGAAAAAAAGAAAGAAAAAAAAGAAAGAAAGAAAAAAGAAAAAGAAAGAAAAAAAAGAUAAAAAGAAAAAAGAAAGAAAAAAAGAAAAAAGAAAGAAAAAAGAAAGAAGGAAAAAAAGAAAGAAAGAAAAAAAAAAGAAAGAAAGAAAGAAAAAAAGAAAGAAAGAAAAAAGAAAGAAAGAAAAAGAAAGAAAAAAGAAAGAAAAAAGAAAAAAAGAAAAAAAAGAAAAAACAAGAAAGAAAGAAAAAAAGAAAAAAAAGAAAAAAGAAAGAAAAAAGAAAGAAAGAAAAAAGAAAGAAAAAAAGAAAAAAGAAAAAAGAAAGAAAAAAGAAAGAAAGAACGGACCUCGGUCCUUGUGCAAAGCUUCCACUGGUCCUGUCCCAGGCCGAUCUUGAAGAGGGUCGCGGCAACACCCAUGUCCCGUUCCAAGCCUCGCUGUGUAAGUAGGAAACCACACUGACAACAUAGAUAGGCCAUUAGCAUGCCCUCAAAACAACGUACAAAACUUUUAUAGUCUGAAUGAUUUUAAUUACAGAAAUAUGUUUAUGAAUUUGUCUUUUUUAAUUUUAAUUUUCUUUAACAUUAAUUUAUUUCAAAGAUGUGAAACCUUCCCCUGGAAAAAUAAUUUCUGCAGACUUCAGAUUUUAUAAUUUGUUGGUUUUUCUGUCUCAGGUCCGAGUGUAGCAGUACAGCCUCGUCCAGAACCAGGAUAAGUCCACUCCUAGGCUGUUAAUGAGGAAGGUCCCGCCGAUGGACGGCCCUCCACGUUUCUUCUCCCCCACUCUCCCCCUGUCCUCUCCCCUCUACCCUCUUCUCUCCACAUUCCUCCCCAACCCAGCAGCGGCAUGGUGGCUGUCUAACAUGAGGCUGGUCCUGCCCAAGGUUUCUGCCUGUUAAAAGGAAGUUUUUCCUUGCCACUGCUACUCAUGUUAGUUGAGAUGGGCCAAAACCCAUCUUAGGUUGGUUCUUGAUCAUCAAACAAUGAGCGUGGUCUAGACCUGCUCUUGUUCCUUGAAAAGCGUCUUGAGAUGAAGACUGUUGUGAAUUGGUAUGGAGCCAGAUCAGGCUCCAUAAAUUGGUGCUAUAUAAAUAAAAUUUGAUUUGAAUUGAUUUUUAUCAGAGCAAUUUCUGAGUUACAUGAAUGAUCCUGAUCCUGUGUCUUCUGCCACUCAGCAAAAACAUAAAAAGAAAGAAAAAAAGAAAGAAAGACCUUUUAAUCGUGUUUGAUUUAUUAACAGUAUUGUGUGAAGGAAAAAAAAAGUCUUUUUAGGGAUGCCGCAGGAUUUCAUGGUUUUAUUCAUGCUGAUAUGACUGAAUGUUGAUAAAAGCAGUGAUGGAUUCUUAUAUCCGAGCUAAAAAAUAUCAAUCCUGCUGAGUUUUCCUGGUUUUCCCUCAGGCUGUUUUUCACUGGAAUUGGUUCACAGCCUGGUCUCUGUACAUUUUGUUGCCUAUUUUGGAGGCUUGUUGUUAGCUGGAAUAGGUGUGCUGAUACAAAAUUGUUUGGUAAAUCACUUUCUAAGUAACUGCACAAUUAUAAUUUAGAAAAAUAAGAGUAAAGUGGGAAAUUUAUGUAAAAUCUUCAUAUUACUUGACUGAAUUAAAUGUUAUUUUUAUGCAGCUGACAUCCUUAUUCACAUAUCUGUAUGCAAGUGGAGUUAUAAAUCAGUUCUAUGUCAUGCCAACAUCACUGUAGGAUAAGAUUCAUUCUAAUCUUAUAUCAUAAGUCUCAGUCUUAUCUUAAUGUACCAUAAGCAGAGCACCUUUCAGCAUUUAGAAAGUUAGAGUGGCACAGAAGAAACCCUCUCACUAAGAAGGCAGAAAACCUGGAGCAGACCAUGACCCCUGCUAAAAAGCCAUAAGAUAGAGACAAAAACGAAGGAGAAAUGGUUCAAAGUUCCUCAGCAUCCCUGGGUCUACCAGAGAGUUAUCUUGAACACAUAGAGUUAAGUCAAUUGUUUUUCUGAUCGGAGCAGCUGGUCCAGCUCAAAGGACACUGGGACACACAGGUGAUUGUACACAGGUGCUUUAAGGUAAUCUGAAAUUGGCCCAGUAAGCUGCUGAGGUUGUUAAAACUACAACCUUUUUCUCCAUGUGCACGGUGUAUGUAGAAGUUACAACUGUAAUUGU